rnacentral:rRNA from 1 species
UACAGAGACUGCAAGCGUUUAUUCGGAUUCACUGGGCGUAAAGGGUGCGCAGGCGGCCAAGUGUGUUAGGCGUGAAAGCCUGGGGCUUAACCCCAGAAUUGCACCUAAAACUACAUGGCUAGAGCAUUGGAGAGGGUAGCGGAAUUCACGGUGUAGCAGUGAAAUGCGUAGAUAUCGUGAGGAACACCAGAGGCGAAGGCGGCUACCUGGACAAUUGCUGACGCUCAGGCACGAAAGCGUGGGGAGCAAAAGGG